GUGCUCACUCUGGCAGCAUGAAUACUAAAAUCAGAGCCAUACAGAGAAGAUUAGUGUGGCCUCUGUGCAAGAAUGACAUGCAAAUUUGUGAAGCGUUCUUCUU